UACAGAGGUCUCAAGCGUUGUUCGGAUUCAUUGGGCGUAAAGGGUGCGUAGGCGGCGCUGUAAGUUGGAUGUGAAAUCUCGGGGCUUAACCCCGAAACUGCAUUCAAUACUGCAGUGCUCGAGUACUGGAGAGGAGACUGGAAUUCAUGGUGUAGCAGUGAAAUGCGUAGAUAUCAUGAGGAAGGCCAGUGGCGAAGGCGGGUCUCUGGACAGUUACUGACGCUGAGGCACGAAGGCCAGGGGAGCAAACGGG
rnacentral:rRNA from 1 species